AGUGAACGCUGGCGGUAGGCCUAACACAUGCAAGUCGAACGGCAGCACAGUAAGAGCUUGCUCUUACGGGUGGCGAGUGGCGGACGGGUGAGGAAUACAUCGGAAUCUACUUUUUCGUGGGGGAUAACGUAGGGAAACUUACGCUAAUACCGCAUACGACCUACGGGUGAAAGCAGGGGAUCUUCGGACCUUGCGCGAUUGAAUGAGCCGAUGUCGGAUUAGCUAGUUGGCGGGUUAACGGCCCACCAAGGCGACGAUCCGUAGCUGGUGUGAGAGGAUGGUAGCCCGCCUGGGAAGUGGACCCGCGUCCUUGCUCCUGCGGGAGGGACCAGUGGGGAAUUUUGGACAGUGGGCGCGAGCCUGACCCAACCGUCCGACGUGGGUGAAGAAGACCUUGGGGUUGUAAAGCCCUUUUGUUGGGAAUAAAAAGCAGCAGGUUAAUACCCCGCUGUUCUGACGGUACCCAAAAAAUAAGCACCGGCUAACUUCGUG
rnacentral:rRNA from 1 species